UGAUGCGGUAGAGGGCCAAGUAGCUGGUGAAGGUUUCCAAUUAAGGGUAAUUUCCAAGGUCCAGGAGGUGGAUUUGAACUUGAUUUGUUGUUAACAUAAGUUA